UCCGUAGGGGGCAAGCGUUGUCCGGAAUCAUUGGGCGUAAAGCGCGUGUAGGCGGCCAGAUAGGUCCGUUGUGAAAACUGGAGGCUUAACCUCCAGCGGUCGAUGGAAACCAUUUGGCUAGAGUCCGGAAGAGGAGAGUGGAAUUCCUGGUGUAGCGGUGAAAUGCGCAGAUAUCAGGAAGAACACCCGUGGCGAAGGCGGCUCUCUGGGACGGUACUGACGCUGAGACGCGAAAGCGUGGGGAGCGAACAGG
rnacentral:rRNA from 1 species